rnacentral:lncRNA from 1 species
AAAAAAAGAGAAGAAAAAGAAAAAAAAAUUAUAAUAUUGAUCUAGAAAAAGACGAUAGUGUGAAAGCCGUCGUUGUAAAAAAUUCGAGUAAACUGGAACAUUACAGAUAAAGCCCAUGAGGUAUUAAAGUAAACAUCCACAACUCUCGAAAUCCUGCAAGAUAGGAUGAUUUUGAAUCAGUAAUUAGGUCUUAUCUGACCAAUUCUUGGAAACUACUAGCUUUAGCAGUAUUUUGGGGAUCUAAAGCCUUAGCUUGUGUAUGGUCCAGAUAUCACCGAGCACCCAAGUAUAAAGAAGUCUUACAACUCUCUAACGGAAGCUUAAUAAUUUCAACUUAAGUUGCAUACUGACUUAGGAUUCGGGCUGACUUAGUAAUUAAAACUUUGUGUGCUUUUAAAAUUCUUGGCAUUUAUGCAUUUGAAAUUAGAUUUUAUAAAACAAUAACUCUUUGAGUAGAGACAAACAGUUUGUGGGUAUCUGAGCCGGAAACCCUCACGAGACAAAACUCGUCCACUAGGGCCACCUAGGGGUUUAAAGCCUUAUUGCAUACGGUAAAUGCAAUCGCAAUUCCUGCGAAAGUGAGUUAGCUUUUAUUUUGCUCGAGGACUAGCAAAAUGUAGGUUGGGGGGUGUGAUAAGUGCUAAAUAAUGCAUAAAUUAACCUUUUAUUCAUAGCACUUAUCAUUAUUUUAA